rnacentral:rRNA from 1 species
UCCCCAGGCGGUCAACUUCACGCGUUAGCUACGUUACUAAGGAAAUGAAUCCCCAACAACUAGUUGACAUCGUUUAGGGCGUGGACUACCAGGGUAUCUAAUCCUGUUUGCUCCCCACGCUUUCGUGCAUGAGCGUCAGUGUUAUCCCAGGGGGCUGCCUUCGCCAUCGGUAUUCCUCCACAUCUCUACGCAUUUCACUGCUACACGUGGAAUUCUACCCCCCUCUGACACACUCUAGCCGUGCAGUCACCAAUGCAAUUCCCAAGUUAAGCUCGGGGAUUUCACAUCGGUCUUGCACAACCGCCUGCGCACGCUUUACGCCCAGUAAUUCCGAUUAACGCUUGGACCCUACGUAUUACCGCGGCUGCUGGCACGUAGUUAGCCGGUCCUUAUUCUUCCGGUACCGUCAUCGACCCCAGGUAUUAACCAGAGCCAUUUCUUUCCGGACAAAAGUGCUUUACAACCCGAAGGCCUUCUUCACACACGCGGCAUUGCUGGAUCAGGCUUUCGCCCAUUGUCCAAAAUUCCCCACUGCUGCCUCCCGUA